GACGAACGCUGGCGGCGUGCUUAACACAUGCAAGUCGAACGGAAAGGCCCUGCUUUUGCGGGGUGCUCGAGUGGCGAACGGGUGAGUAACACGUGAGUAACCUCCCCUUGACUUUGGGAUAACUUCAGGAAACUGGGGCUAAUACCGGAUAGGAGCUCCUGCUGCAUGGUGGGGGUUGGAAAGUUUCGGAGGUUGGGGAUGGACUCGCGGCUUAUCAGCUUGUUGGUGGGGUAGUGGCUUACCAAGGCAUUGACGGGUAGCCGGCCUGAGAGGGUGACAGGCCACAUUGGGACUGAGGUACGGGCCAGACUCCUACGGGAGGCAGCAGGGGGGAAUAGUGCACACUGGGCGGAAGCCUGAUGCAGCAACGCCGCGUGCGGGAUGACGGCCUUCGGGUUGGAACCCGCGUUCGCCUGGAACGAAGAGUGAGUGACGGUAAUGGGUAAAGAAGCAACGGCUAACUACGUG
rnacentral:rRNA from 1 species